UGGCGACAUAAACAAGGGAGGAGGCUGCGUUCUUCCCCGCACAAUAAAGGAGCGGGUCCGGGGGAGGCCGCCCUCCCGGAGCCGCCGAGGCAAGGCCCGACCGCGGCCCGCGAAGCGCGCGGCUGACCUCCGCCAUGUUGGCCGUACACCGGGCCACACAACAAAGACUGAGCGAGGGCGCGGGCCGUAGCCUCGGCGCGCCCGCCCGCCCUCCGCCUCUCGGAGCCGCGGCUGUCGGCUGGGCCCGCCUGGAGAGGCCGAGACAAAGGCGUCGCGGCUCCGCGAGGGGACCCGCCGGCCCUCCCCGGGCCGCGGCCGGCUCCUCCCUCCAGGCCGCCCGCUUACCUGUGGGCGGAGAGCGCGCCGCGGACCCCGGCCCCGUCUAACGCGCCCGGUCGCCAGCUGCCGCCGCCGC